GGAAAAGGAAAACAGGGCGAGAAACAUGUUUCAUCUUUUCAGGCAUUCGCUAUUACGAUUGCCAGCCGUGUGUGCAAGCAAGUAUUGAUCCGUGGAUAUCCGAAUGGGGAAACCCGGCCAUCGUCAUGGAUGGUCACCCGCAAGGGAGGGAACCUGGGGAACUGAAACAUCUAAGUACCCGGAGGAAGAGAAAUCAAACGAGAUGCCCACAGUAGCGGCGAGCGAAGAGGGCAGAGCCCAAACCGAGAAGCUCCGGCUUUUCGGGGUUGAGGACCGGCAGAAUCGAAGUCAGGCCUAGUUGAAUUACCUGGAAAGGUAAGCGAGAGAGGGUAAAAGCCCCGUAGACGAAAGGCAGAGCAGAGAGGCCGAGAUCCAGAGUACCACGAAGCACGAGGAAUUUUGUGGGAAGCAGGGGGGACCACCCUCCAAGGCUAAAAACUACUUGGCGACCGAUAGCGCAUAGUACCGUGAGGGAAAGGUGAAAAGAACCCCGGGAGGGGAGUGAAAUAGUACCUGAAACCGUAUGUCUACAAGCAGUCGAAGCGAAAGCGACGGCGUGCCUAUUGAAGAAUGAACCAACGAGUUAUCUGCACUAGCGAGGUUAAGUGGAAGACACGGAGCCGCAGCGAAAGCGAGUCUUAAGAGGGCGCUAGUUAGUGUAGGUAGACCCGAAACCGCAGUGAUCUACCCAUGUCCAGGUUGAAGCGCAGGUAAAAUUGCGUGGAGGACCGAACCGGUGAGCGUUGAAAAGCUUUCGGAUGAGAUGUGGGUAGGGGUGAAAUUCCAAUCGAACGCGGAGAUAGCUGGUUCUCCCCGAAAUAGCUUUAGGGCUAGCCUGAGGUAGUAAGUAUAGGCGGUAGAGCACUGAUCGGGCUAGGGGCCGUAAAGGUUACCGAACCCUGUCAAACUCCGAAUGGAUAUACUGUAGAGCCUUGGAGUCAGACUACGAGUGAUAAGAUCCGUGGUCAAAAGGGAAACAGCCCAGACCACCAGCUAAGGUCCCCAAUGUCGUACUAAGUGGAAAAGGAUGUGGGGUUUCAUAAACAACCAGGAUGUUGGCUCAGAAGCAGCCACCAUUUAAAGAGUGCGUAAUAGCUCACUGGUCGAGAGACCCUGCGCCGAAGAUUCCCGGGGCUAAAGUACGAAACCGAAGCUGUGGCUGUAUACGUAAAGUAUACGGGGUAGGGGAGCGUUCCCAUAGGGUAGAAGUCGAACUGGAAGGUUCGGUGGACUUGUGGGAAGUGAGAAUGUUGGUAUGAGUAGCGAAAAGAAAGGUGAGAAUCCUUUCCACCGAAAGCAUAAGGAUUCCUGAGCAACGAUCGUCGUCUCAGGGUAAGUCGGGACCUAAUCCGAGGCAGAGAGCGUAGGAGAUGGACAACUGGUUGAUAUUCCAGUACCGGUAGUAAUUGUUUGAGCAAUGGAGUGACACAGAAGGGCAGGCAAGCAUGCGAAUGGAAGAGCAUGUGUAAGCGUGUAGGGUGGUGCAUAGGCAAAUCCGUGCACUGAAAGCCUGAGGCGUGAUGCGGAGUGAGCAGAGAUGCGAGCGAAGUUGUUGACCCCACACUGUCGAGAAAAGCUUCUAGUGAGAGAGCUACCGCCCGUACCGUAAACCGACACAGGUAUGCGGGGAGAGAAUCCUAAGGUGCGCGGGAGAACCCUCGUUAAGGAACUCGGCAAAAUGUACCCGUAACUUCGGGAUAAGGGUAGCCACUGUUGUGAAGUCCCAUGCGGAUGGAGCAUAGAGUGGUCGCAGAGAAGAGGCCCAAGCGACUGUUUACCAUAAACACAGGUGCCUGCUAAAGCGAAAGCUGACGUAUAGGUGCUGACACCUGCCCAGUGCCGGAAGGUUAAGGAAGGAUGUUCGGAUUAGUCCAAAGCAUUCGACUGAAGCCCCGGUGAACGGCGGCCGUAACUAUAACGGUCCUAAGGUAGCGAAAUUCCUUGUCGGGUAAGUUCCGACCCGCACGAAAGGUGUAACGACUUGGGCACUGUCUCAACGAGGGACCCGGUGAAAUUGAAGUACCUGUGAAGAUGCAGGUUACCCGCGACUGGACAGAAAGACCCCAUGGAGCUUUACUGUAACCUGACAUUGGGUUUUGAUACAUUACGUACAGGAUAGGUGGGAGGCUUGGAAAGUUGGACGCUAGUCUGACUGGAGCCGACGUUGGGAUACCACCCUUGAUGUAUUGAAAUUCUAACCGCGAGAGUAACGAAAUCCGGGACAGUGUCAGGCGGGCAGUUUGUGCCGUUGACCGAGUAUUCGGUGCUCAUCGCGCCCUUUGUCACCUCGGCUACCUCAACGGCGGUGCCUGCUGCGGUCUGCUCCUCCCCGUCGUCGCUCGUCUGGCUGCCGCAGCCUGCGCAGAGCGCCAUGGAUGCUGCGAGCAGCGCCGCUAAAAUACGUUUUUUCAUCGGUCUCCUCCUUAAAAUUCGCCUGUCUCCUCAGUUCGCGCUCGACAUCACGCCGCGCGUUGCCCACUCGUAAUUGUUGUAUGCGGUCAGCAGGUCGGUACGCGCGUUUUCCGCCGUCUCCUGCGCGGUCAUGUACGUGUCCUGCGCCUCUUCGUAUUUCAGCCGCGAGAUCAUGCCGCGCUUGUAUUGCAGCUCGGAGACCGCGAAGGUCUUCUGCGCCUGCGUCAGGUCGCCCUGCGCGGCGGUCAUGGCGGUGACCUUCUCCUG
rnacentral:rRNA from 1 species